UAUUGGUCAAUGGGCGGGAGCCUGAACCAGCCAAGUCGCGUGAGGGAGUAAGGCCCUACGGGUCGUAAACCUCUUUUGCCGGGGAGCAGGGCGGCGGACGUGUCCGCCGUUUGAGAGUACCCGGAGAAAAAGCAUCGGCUAACUCCGUGCCAGCAGCCGCGAUAAUACGGAGGAUGCGAGCGUUAUCCGGAUUUAUUGGGUUUAAAGGGUGCGUAGGCGGAAUAUCAAGUCAGCGGUAAAAAUUCGGGGCUCAACCCCGUCGUGCCGUUGAAACUGAUGUUCUUGAGUGGGCGAGAAGUAUGCGGAAUGCGUGGUGUAGCGGUGAAAUGCAUAGAUAUCACGCAGAACUCCGAUUGCGAAGGCAGCAUACCGGCGCCCAACUGACGCUGAAGCACGAAAGCGUGGGUAUCGA
rnacentral:rRNA from 1 species